GUUGUUGUGGCCGAGAGGUUAAGGCGAUGGACUCGAAAUCCAUUGGGGUCCCCCCGCGCAGGUUCGAAUCCUGCCAGCUACG